GUGCUUGCUUCAGCAGCACAUAUACUAAAAUUGGAGUAAUAUGGAGAAAAUGAGCAUGGUCCCUGCACAAGGAUGGCAUACAAAUUCACGAAGCAUUCCAUAUUUUU